CACACAUUCAGUAUAGGCUUGGCUCACGGAGGAGGAGCAUGCGCUCUCGCCCUCGUCUCUCCCAUACACAACGUGUCGACUGAUUUCACGAAUUUCUCCCAGUGGCUUCAAUCAACACGUGUCAAAAAUUUCUGAAUGAAGCAGAGAGGACAAAAAAAAAGAGAGAGGAAAAUUGUUGUGACAAAUAUAUGCAUUCAUUUUGUUUUCUAUUCGGAGAAAACUAACCACGCCCUGAUAAUUUACAACAAUCAUAAUAGUUAUAUAAAAAUAUAGCAAUAACACAGCGCAGAAAGCGAGCAGAUUUGCGCUAUCAUCAUCGUCAUUAAGCGCCAUUUUGGCAGAGAAAGUGCGCUUCUCGAAUCUACUUUGUUUCCUUGUUUUCUGGAUUUUUACUGUUUUUUUCAAUUAAAUAUCUCCUUUUCGAUUAGUUUUUUUUCUUUCAGUUGAAGGAUGUAACGACAUCAGUCGUAGUUCUCGAAAAAGAGUUUAUAGUUAAAUAAAGAAGAGUUAAAAAAAAAAAAAAAAAAAAAAAAAAAACAGAUACACGCAAAAAAAACAAAACAAAUGAAAGAAAAUAAAACAUUUCCAGAAUUAUAAAAAAUAAGAAAAGGUACUAAUAAAUAAGUAAAUAAAAUAAAAAUUAAAUAAUAACAACAAUAAUAAUAAACAAGGUAAACAAAAUAGACAAGAUUUAUACAAUACGACACACAGCCUCUGAGGUACCAUCAUACCUCUUAGCUUCGAUCACUUUUCGUGCGAUUUUCCCUAAGACCGCCAGCAGCAUGAGCAGGUGGCUGUCGACGACCAUGUUCUUUCUGCUGCCUCUCCUGCUGCUGCUGACGAGGACAGCGCCCUCAGAAGCUACCUGCGGCUCGUGUAAUGAACGGCUGAAAGUGUCCAUCAUAUGCUGUCUGUUCGAGGGGAAAUGCUGCGUCUUAGGACCCGUCGCGAUCGGCAAACGUGACGUCACAUCAGUGCUGCAGCGACAUCAAUGGAGCGAUGACGUCGACAUUGACGUCAGCAAGAGAAUCGUUCAUCCACAUGCCCGUCCGCGUUGAGCUGACUUCACCAGAACUUUUUUUUCUUGAAUUUGUUGAGGGGGUUAUGAUUUUUUUUAUUUUUUUUCAAUGCGGGGUGACUUUCAUGCCUUUUAUGUACUUUUAUAUUUGUUAACUUUACCAUUUUUGUUUUGCCGGAAUAUUUUUUUUUUUACCAAGAAGGUACUUUAUCAUUAAAAUCUAAAAUGAAAGUGCAGUGUAAUUGCAUAUCCACGCUCACAAAUUAUCAAAAAUUAUAAUGAAAACGUUAUCUUGACGUACUAUUGUUAUCACUGUUGCACGGGUGAGUUAUAUCUUAUGAAAAAUAGGUUUCUUAUCUUAAACUAUUUUUAAAAGAUCACCAAUUAGUUCUUAUCUGUGUUACCCAGUAUUUACUAGAAAUUACAUAUAAGUGUUGUUAUUAAUUAUCAAUUAUGUUUACUACUUACUUCCAUACAUUGUAUACUUACACACACCGCCAUGAAUCUCCUCCUCCCCAUAUCAAUUUCCAGGAUACUCUAGUGGUACACAAACUAUAAAAAAUACCAUACAUGUGCACAUAAUUAUGCAAUAUAUAUAUAUAUAUA
rnacentral:lncRNA from 1 species